AUGGUGAAUAUAGGUGGUUCUUGUGGAAUCUCUAGAGAAAGAAGAAUAACAUCUGGUGUUGGAGUAGCAAAAACGAGUGGUUGUUAUGGAAUCUUUACUGUUGGGUUUGGCAUUGUGAAAGGUGGUGACUAUUGUGGAUGUUCUAAAACCAUGGGAGGGGGAAGAAAAACGCUCGGUGGUGAAGAUAAAAAUGAAAAUGGAUCUUGUGGUGUCGUAACUAUAGGGACAAAUGAUAGUGUGGGCAUUGUGAAGGGAACUGACUUAAAAUAUUAA